CGGGAUCACGCCCUGAGCCGAAGGCAGACGCUUAACCGCUGUGCCACCCAGGCGCCCCAUCUUCUUGAAUUUUCUGGUUGAUGCAUGCAUUCUUUAGUAGGAUGCUCUUUAAGCUCCAUGUAUUUGUGUUCCUUCCAAAUUUUCUCUUGUGAUUGAGUUCAAGUUUUAAAGCACUGCGCCUGACCCAAGGCUGUGUGCUCUAGGCAAGGCCAACAUCUAAGCAAACAGCUCUGCAGUUUGGCCUCCUCGUCUGUGAAACGGAGCGGCUCCUCUGCUUACAAACACGCCUGUGAUGCGAUGGGACCGCAGGUCCUACAGCAGCGCCGUGCUUGUCCCCUUCUCUCUUCCCCAUUGUAGCUAUUCCCUCAACAAGCGUCCAGUCUGUGGACAACCUCAGCACCUCCCACACCCUGGAAAGGAUCGUGGGGGCAUCUGUCCAGCUGCAGCUGACCUCCUCCUUGUACCCGAACAUCCGAGAGAUAGAGUGGAGCUGGCAUUCUGAGCCUGAAAAAGAAGAGAUCCUGGUGUCCUGGAAACCCAAUGCCACUGGUCCUGACUGGUAUGAGCUGGAGGAAAAAUCCAGGAGCAGCCUCUCCCUGACAGAGACGGCGGUUUUGAGCAUCCGGAAUCUCACUAUGGAAAUGAGUGGAUGGUAUACAGCAAAGGUCAAAUUCCGCACGGGAAAAUCCCAGAAGGAAGUCUUCAGACUCUGUGUGUAUGGUAAGAGCCCAUCCCCCACCCCCAGAUUGUGAUUCAUUCAUCCUCCAACCAUGCAGGCUGGUGCAAUGUCAGCCUGGAGUGUGGGAUCCCAGGAGCCACAGAGAACCUGACAGUGACCUGGCUGAGUGAGGGGCUCCCCAGGGAGCUGGAGCAGAGAGGGGCUCUUGGGCUAGCCCCCAGCUCUAGGAAUCUAAGCCUGAGCCUGCCCCUGAGCCAGCUGAAUGGCUCCCUCACCUGUAGGGUCAGCAACCCUGUGGACGGGAAGAACGCAACCUUACUCCUGCAGAGCGUCUGUCCGUGGAGGGGAUCUCAGAGCAAGUGGCUUUGGAAAGGUGUCCUGCUCACGGCGCUGAUGCUGAGCCUGGCCGGCGGAGUGGUCAUCUGGAAAAGGAAGAAAAUGUGGUCCAGGAGGGGCCUGUCCACUCUGCUGCCCACAGAGCCGGGCUCCGCUGCUCUAUCCCAGGCCCCGCCCACAGAGGAACCUGCUGGGGCCACGAGCCACUGCCCUCCCGACCUGGAGCUCAGCCUCCUGAGACAUGCCAAGGAUGACAUGGAGAGGGGCAGCUGCCAUCCCCCUAGCCCUGAGUGCACCCCAACAGUCCACACCGUCUACGACAAGAUUCGGAUGAACAGAGAGCCCCAGGAGGAUGCCUAGGUUAACGAAGACAUCGGGGCAGUGAAGGGCCUUGGCAAGAUCUGGCCCACCCUGCCCUCCACCCAGGGCCCAGGAAAUUCCUUCUUAGGCAGACCUAGUACAAGACGCCAGGUCUUCCUGACGUGCCGCACCCCCCCCCCACCCAUCCAAGGUGGCAGAGCAGCACCAUGUGUCCCUGGGCUCCUCACAAGCUCUUGUCACUUCACAGGUGGUGAGCAUUGACUAUGCCACCUGAGCACCCAGCAUGAGAGGCUGGUCCUUGGGUGGGCAGUCAGAUUUCUGACCUGUGACCCACUCACCCCUGGGAGGGGUCACCCGUAGUCAGGCAGGACCUGCAGACGCGUGUCCGGGAGCAGAGAUGCUGCCCUAGAAUCGGGCGGGCCUUGGAUGGAGGACCUCCAGGCUGUCACUGCCCAGCCUGACCCCUUGAACAGAAGAGGGAGGGCCCUGCACUAUGGGGAAACAAGAGCUGCAGAGAGAAAGUUCAGGGUCAGCUUCAGCACAGAGGGAGGGGCAAAAGGGAAGGAAUAGUUUUUGAGCUCCAUCAACUGCAGGCUUACUGUAAACGCCAGAAAUGCGCUAUCUCCAGGUCUCUCAAAAUUCGAGCAAUUUAUCAACCUAGCUGGGGGCGCCUGGGGGGUUCAGUCAGUUGAGCAUCUGCCUUCGGCUCAGGUCAUGAUCUCAGGGUCCUGGGAUGGAGUCCUGCAUGGCGGGGGGGGGGCUCCCUGCUCCACGGGGAGUCUGCU